rnacentral:lncRNA from 1 species
UUUACCAUGAAUUGUACAUUCAAGACAGUCAAUAACCACAGCACCAUGUAUGUGCGAUGGUACAACUAUGGGACUGAGGGACUAAAGAAAGAGUUGGUGAAUGAGAGCGAUGUGCUCACAACCCUGCAUUUGGACAAUGGGUUUGCCUCUCUCACUUUGAAGAAUGCGAAUUCAUCUGAUACAGGAACCUAUGUGUGUGAGGUGGGGAUCACAGCAAGGAACCUCUCUGGGAAUGGAACAGGAACCCAAGUGACCAUCGAGAAAUUUCCCAAGCUGAUGGUGAAUCAGACCCCAGUCAAUAUCCAUGCGUCAGAAGGGUCAGAUCUCACCGUGGAGUGUAGAUUCACGGUAUGGAAUAAACACAAGACCUUGUAUGUGAAAUGGUAUAAACAUAGCGGAACUGGGGGAACGAAGAAGGAGCUGGUGAGUGAAAGAGGCGGGGGGCCAGCAGCCCUGGCUUUGGAAAAGGGUUUUGCUUCGUUCACUCUGAAGAACGUGAAUAUAACCAAUACAGGAACCUACGUGUGUGAGGUGGGGAGCACAGCGAGGAACUGGUCUGCAUCAGGAGCCGGAACCCAAGUGACCAUCACUCCUGUUGACCUGCUGGUGAAUCAGAGCCCUGCCUGUGUCAAGGAAGAGGAAGGAAAAAAGCUGACCAUAGAAUGUAGAUUCAGGGCCCUGGAGAAACCCAGCACCAAGUACUCUGUUAAAUGGUAUAAAAACGGGACCGAUGGAGACGAGAAGGAGCUGAAAAACGAAACGGGCUCAGUCACAACAACUCUAGAUUUCUCAACGGGCCUGGCUUCUCUGACCUUGACUAAAGCCAGCGUGAGUGAUUCUGGGUUCUACAGAUGUGACUUCGGUAAAAAUGGCCAUGGGAAUGGAACCAGAGUGACGAUCCAGGAUAAAAGGAGCAAUGCCUCCCACGUUGUUUUCGUCAUCCGGAUGGUUCUCGGGGCCCUUGUUAUAAUCUCGGCGGUGAUGAUUGUUGCAGAGUGCGUGAUUUCAGAGAAGAGGGGUGAGUGAAAUGUCUUCAGUGCAGUCCCUGUGCAGAAUCAGCCACAGAGCUUGAGUUACACGCGAGGUCCUUCUGCCUUUUCCUUCUGGGCAACUUCCCAGUCCCAGUGCGUUGAAAUCGAAAAGCUGUUUCAGACCCGGCUGGGACUGUUUCCUUGGCCUGUCUGUUCUGGUUUCUGUCUAACCAGAAAUCCGGGUAUCUCAGAACUAGAAGCACAGAGUUUAGGUCUCCAUCUUGUAAAUGUUCCUGAAGGCCUUUACCUCUCAGGUCUCCCUUUCACAGCACCGAUGAUCUUUUCCUGUUGCUGCGUCUGUCCAACGUGCCCUGUUUAUUUCUGGCUGGCUGGCACGCACGGAGCUAAUGCAACCACUUGGACAAGUGUGCUGCACGUACUGCAGGAGUAUUCUUUAGGUUCUAACUUACUGAGUCUGAUUUUUCCCCACAGCUGGUGUCAAUCGGACAAUAUGAGGAUUAGCUGUUAUAGCGUACCCUUGGAGAUGGAGCUCUCAGACACCUGUUACCCAGGCAUUCCCCCAAACACCGUGUUGACCAACCAGCCUGUCAGAUUCUGCACCUGCAAAUAAACCUUGAACAGAAGGGAGGGGAUGCUGGAUA